CUUCCCCAGCCACAUGGAACUAUAAAAACUCUUUCUUUUUUGCUUUGAUGAUGUUUUCCUAAUGUCUUAGUUUACCAUUGGUUCUUGGGUCUGCCAUUUGAUACUGCAAUCAGACGUGAAAAGGUAGCUAUGUCUUUUUGGCACAGACCUGCCUAUAGAGAGCCUGAGUUCUCCAACCAGAGGGAAGCACUUCCUAGAACUGUGUAUAUGCAUCUGUUGAAGAGUGAAGUUCAGAUUCCUCAUAGAAGAAACAGAGAUGAUAAUAGUACCUGCAUGGUAGCAUUAUGCUGAAGAUAAGUGAGUUAAUACAAACAGAGUGCUGAGAACAGUGCCUGGUGCAGAGCAGUUCUCAACAGGUAUUAGCUCCUGUUAUUAUUAACUAUUAUCAAUAAUUGGCAUGUGGCAUGGGAAUGGGAAGGAGGGAUGAUAAAAAGGAGAAGAUAUACCGGAAAGACAAAAGGGGUAGCUCUUCACAGCUCAUUGGAAGGCUUUUGUUCUAAAACUUUCAUCAGUCAUGGUGGGAGCAGAUAAAAUAGCAGAAAUGGCUUCCACAUGCAGAGAGCAAAAUUAGUAAUUGACCAACCUGUUCAUUUUACCCCAAGUUUUUGUUUUCUAUCUACUUGUCAUAGCAGGAAGGCUUGCUGUCUGUCCUCAGUGUCAAUGUGUGACAAGGAGAGGUAGAGUGUUUUGCAGCUUUUACCAAAUCCUACUUGUUUUGGAUGAGCAGUGAGAUAGGAAGCCAAGCCCUAGUGUUUUUUUGUUCACUUGAGAGCUGUAGAUAUUUAUUUCAAAUGCUCAUUCUGACUGUGUUUGAAAUGUUGGACAAAAUACUUAUCAGUGAAUUAAAAAGGCACUUAUUAAAUGCCCACUAGGUACAUAGAUGAAUUCCAGGAACUUGCAUAGUUUCUGUUUCGUUUAACCUCAUAAAAAUCAUUUGAGGGGAUUACCCUGACUGGGUCAUUACAUAUGGUUUGCAUGUAUCAAAGUAUCAGCUGGGCAUGGUGCCUCAUGCCUAUAAGCCUAAUGACUAAGGAGACUGAAAUGGGAUGAUCCCUUAAGCCUGGGAGUUCCAGGCUGCAGUCAGCUAUGA